GGGGUUCACUGCUGGAGGCACCACCGAGUACAGCACUGACACCACCAGAUCCAGGGAUGGGGAGGAGAUGAAGGGGGACAAGACACUGCUGGUGCU